UGCAGAGUUAUUUGAAACAUAAAGAUUAAGUAAAAGAAAAUCCUUAGUAUUGCUUCGUUAUUGUCGUUAUCCUCAGUGGUUCCCUUAGCUUCAUCGUCACAUUCAAUAAUUCAAGCUAUCAGCGCAGUCGCAAUUUCGCGAUAACUUUAUGAAUUUAAUUAUAUAAGGGACAUAUCAUGUCUAAGACUACUGGCAUCGUAAAAUGGUUUAACGAAGAGAAAGGUUUCGGUUUCAUUACUCAAGACAACGGCGGUGCUGACGUAUUCGUUCACUUCCGUGCUAUCGCUUCUGAAGGCUUCAAAACACUUGCGGAAGGCCAAAAGGUUUCUUUCGAAGUUGAACAAGGUCAAAAAGGCCCACAAGCUUCUAACGUUGUAGCGUUAUAAUCUUGUAAGCCGACGCAAAUGGUUUUUAACCAUUUGCGUCACU
rnacentral:sRNA from 1 species